rnacentral:rRNA from 1 species
GUGGGGAAUUUUGGACAAUGGGCGCAAGCCUGAUCCAGCAAUGCCGCGUGCAGGAAGAAGGCCUUCGGGUUGUAAACUGCUUUUGUACGGAACGAAACGGUCCUGGUUAAUACCUGGGGCUAAUGACGGUACCGUAAGAAUAAGCACCGGCUAACUACAUGCCAGCAGCCGCGGUAAUACGUAGGGUGCGAGCGUUAAUCGGAAUUACUGGGCGUAAAGCGUGCGCAGGCGGUGCUGUAAGACAGGCGUGAAAUCCCCGGGCUCAACCUGGGAAUUGCGCUUGUGACUGCAGUGCUGGAGUACGGCAGAGGGGGAUGGAAUUCCGCGUGUAGCAGUGAAAUGCGUAGAUAUGCGGAGGAACACCGAUGGCGAAGGCAGUCCCCUGGGCCUGUACUGACGCUCAUGCACGAAAGCGUGGGGAGCAAACAGGAUUAGAUACCCGUGUAGUCC